rnacentral:rRNA from 1 species
GCGAGUGAAGCGGUAACAGCUCAAAUUUGAAAUCUGGCCUCACGGUCCGAGUUGUAAUUUGUAGAGGAUGCUUCGAGCAUGGUCUGGCCUAAGUUCCUUGGAACAGGACGUCAUAGAGGGUGAGAAUCCCGUAUGCGGCCAGGUGCCUACGCUCAUGUGAAGCUCCUUCGACGAGUCGAGUUGUUUGGGAAUGCAGCUCAAAAUGGGUGGUAAAUUUCAUCUAAAGCUAAAUAUUGGCCAGAGACCGAUAGCGCACAAGUAGAGUGAUCGAAAGAUGAAAAGCACUUUGGAAAGAGAGUUAAACAGUACGUGAAAUUGUUGAAAGGGAAGCGCUUGCAACCAGACUUGCGCGCGGCCGAUCAUCCGGUGUUCUCACCGGUGCACUCGGCCGUGCUCAGGCCAGCAUCGGUUUUGGCGGCUGGAUAAAGGCCCUAGGAAUGUAGCUCCUCUCGGGGAGUGUUAUAGUCUAGGGUGCAAUGCAGCCUGCUGGGACCGAGGACCGCGCU